AGUAAAUGCAUUAGUCUUGUAUUCACUGCAAUAAAAUGCUCUUGUACCAGUAUUAUUUAAUACAUUACAUUUUAUCGUAGUAAAUAAAUCAUAGAAAUAGAAAUUCUUGGCUGCUUUAUAUUGCUGUAGAAAAAAACAAUGAAAUCUUAUUUUAAACUUUUCUCAUGAUUUUUAAAGGGAAUUCAUGAAAUCUUUGUUAGGUUUGAUGACAGGUACCAUAUGAAGGGCAGCAUUUUAUGACCCAUAUCUUAAACAUCGUCUCUGGAAGUUAAGAGCCUCCAAUGGGUUCUCUGUAGAGUGCACAUGAUACCGCACUCAGGCAGUUCAUGGAGUGUAAGAAAUAUCUUAGUGCUUUGUCAUUUGACAUUUUAACCAAGAAAAAAUACACUUUGAUAAGUUUAACUUACACUUCCCUUCCCCUUCAGGUAUCUACUGUGCGUUUCAGUCAACAAUACAGCUCAUGUUCAACAAUAUUCCUUGAUGACAACACAGCCAGCCAGCCUUAUCUUACAAUGACAAUAAUAUCAGUGACCUUGGAGCUACAUCAUGAUAUCAUGCAAAGAGAUGCAGAUGGAUCUUUGAGCGUAUGUGAUGAACAGUUAUACUCAUUUACGGUAAGUGGCG
rnacentral:lncRNA from 1 species